AGGGUAGAGUCAGUGUCACUGAUAUAAUUGGAUUCACUGUUUCAGAAACAAUAUCCUCAAAGUCAGAUGGGCAUCUUAAAUCUUGGGACAUCUCAAUUGAUCUUGUUAAUGUUCUCAAGCAUGAGAUUCGGGAUGGACAACUGAGCUUAAGAGGCAAAAGGGUGCUUGAGCUUGGUUGCAGUUAUGGGCUUCCUGGAAUUUUCGCUUGUUUAAAGG